GGCUUGCCCUGGGGCAGAGCCGCGAACGGGUGAGUAACACGUGGGUAACCUACCCCGAUGACCGGGACAACCCGAGGAAACUCGGGCUAAUACCGGAUGUUCUCGUAUCUCUCAAGGGUUACGAGCAAAGAUAGCUUCGGCCUUCGCAUCGGGACGGGCCCGCGGCCCAUUAGCUUGUUGGUGGGGUAACGGCCUACCAAGGCUGCGAUGGGUAGCUGGUCUGAGAGGACGAUCAGCCACACUGGGACUGAGACACGGCCCAGACUCCUACGGGAGGCAGCAGUGGGGAAUCUUGCGCAAUGCGCGAAAGCGUGACGCAGCAACGCCGCGUGGGGGAAGAAGGCCUUCGGGUUGUAAACCCCUUUCAGUUGGGACGAAGCUUCGAGGGUUAAUAGCUCUCUGGAGUGACGGUACCUUCAGAAGAAGCCCCGGCUAACUACGUGCCAGCAGCCGCGGUAAUACGUAGGGGGCUAGCGUUGUCCGGAAUCAUUGGGCGUAAAGCGCGUGUAGGCGGUCCGGUAAGUCCGCUGUGAAAGUCGGGGGCUCAACCCUCGGAUGCCGGUGGAUACUGUCGGGCUUGAGUACGGAAGAGGCGAGUGGAAUUCCUGGUGUAGCGGUGAAAUGCGCA
rnacentral:rRNA from 1 species